GGACAUUGUCCCUCCACAUAACACUAUCACAUGUAACACCCAGACCAGCAGAGAAGAAACACAACGCAGAUAAUUAACACAACAUCGACAUCACCAGCAGAGAGAGAGAGACAUCAAGAGAAGUAUUCUGUACUGCAAUAAAGAAAGACUAACUGUGUGUGUGAGGUCAGUGAUCGUGUCUCCGCUGUUUUAGACGUCCUCACCCUUGCUCCCACUAUGAAGAACUUCUGGAACGCUGUGGAAUCUGUUGGUCAUGUCAUCGCUUACUUCUACGAAGAGAAACGCUCCCAUGUUCUGCAGCAGUGCGUGUACGAUCAGCAGGUCACCAUCUUUAAACUGCAGUGGGUCAUCGGCCUGCUGGUGGCGGCGCUGGUGCUCCUGUGUGCACUCGUGUGUGUGCGCUUCUGUACAACCAACUCAUGUGCACAUGAAGAGGAAAAAAAUCUAUGUGGCACUACUGUUGGAAAUGUAAAGCAGAUCAUGGCAAUGAUUUGUAAAGUGAAAAGAUUGUAUAAUAGUUUUUUUUCGUAACAUUAUCUCUUUCACACCAGAAUCCAAGCAAAAGUCUGACUGGAGUUCAUUUCCCUCUUAUUAAACUUACUGUAAUGAGUAAUAAGUAGAGUUUUAGUUAUUGGAUCAAAGCAGCAAAAUUUUACUGUAUUUUCUUUAUGUAAAGUUAUUGUACAAUUAAAAACAAACAUUAAAUGUAAAGUAGGUGUGUAUCUCCAGGUGUCCCUGUCCUUCUCCACUUGCUGUAACUAUGAGCUGGUGUGACUUAAUCACACAACCUGAUGACAAAACCUUACAGCACUGAUAAAACACUGGGACUCGUGUGUAACUGAAGGACUCGAACACAAACAUCACCCAAACACACACUCGCUCUUCACCACAACCUCGACAGCGCGUUUAUUUCUGAAACAUCUGCGUGAGAAAUUAACAAAACUAACAAAAAAAUUACAAAAAAAAAAAAAAAAGAAGAAGAAAAGA